GGGGGCAUAGCUCAGCGGCAGAGUGUGUGCUUAGUAUGCACGAAGACCUGGGCUCAAUCCCCAGCACCUG
rnacentral:tRNA from 1 species